GUAAUAUGGCAGUAGCCGGGUAAGUACCCUGUCUAGUGUCUAUAGUAUGGCAGUAGCCAGGUAACUACCCUAUCUGUAGUAUGGCAGUAGCCAGGUAAGUACCCUGUCUAUAAUAUGGCAGUAGCCUGGUAAGUACCCAGUCUGUAAUAUGGCAGUAGCCUGGUAAGUACCCUGUCUGUAAUAUGGCAGUAGCCAGGUAAGUACCCUGUCUAGUGUCUAUAGUAUGGCAGUAGCCAGGUAACUACCCUGUCUGUAGUAUGGCAGUAGCCAGAUAAGUACCCUGUCUGUAGUAUUGCAGUAGCCGGAUAAGUACCCUGUCUAUAGUAUGGCAGUAGCCGGAUAAGUACCCUGUCUAUAAUAUGGCAGUAGCCGGGUAAGUACCCUGUCUAUAAUAUGGCAGUAGCCUGUCUGUAGUAUGGUAGUAGCUACAACUAGAAUCUUUAACAGCCACGAAGACUUUCAAAGCUUUCUCCUUCAAGAAAGAAAUAAUAAUUUGUCAAGAUUCGUGUUGGUCAAAACAGAAAUCUGAGUGAAAAUGCUUCAACAGCAGGACCACGGUUAUGCUGGAAGUAGAAAAACUAUUGUACAAAAUACCAAAAAGUUUGGCUGUAGCUCAGUCAUUAAAUGCUGGAAGAUUGUGCAGUUUCCAGAUUAUAAGUGAACAACCAGACCAUGUAAGGCUUCAUGGCUUCAUCAAAUAUCCCAUAGAAUAGGCACACCAGACAGCAGAAAAAGAUGUAUGGAAAUGGAGUUGGGGAGUUUGAAGAAUCUGCUUUUGAGUGGUGUCAGCAAAAACUGGGAUUCAUGGUUUUGUACAAUUUACACCAAAGACUAACAAUUGAAUACCUUUACGGUGUUCUUUUUAAAGAAGCAAUGGUGCAAGAAACUUACCAUAUGAGGAAGCAGAUGAGCAAUGAUGUUUGACUGAGUUUGACAGGAAUAAGAAACCACAAAAAUGAACUUAUAGUUAAAACCCUAGAUUUUUUUGACCAAGGAAUGUCUUAAGCAGAGUACGGGCUGUUGUUACCCUGUAAAAAAAAUGGAUGUUUAUGUCUUGUGAGUCUUUGUUACGACUGAUGACACAUUCAAUUACAUGAUUGUGUUUACCAGCUUUGACAUUGGAAUUUGUUGCAAAUUACCUAUUUCAGUGUAACUAAGCAAGAAAUAGGUAAUUAGGUAAAUGUGGAAUAUAUCUUAACACAUAUUAAAUUUUCUGACUUCUUAAUGAGACCAUCUUCACUAUCCUUUAAAUUAUUUAGUAAGCAUUUGUGUAACAGUAUAAAAUUUAGUAGAUAUAUGUUUGUAUUAAGUUGUGGAAAAUUUUAUAAGAAAUGUGAAUCUGCACAUAUUAAAAUGUAAUAGAGGUAUUACUGCCAGUUUAAUGAAUCCAAAUUUAAAUGAGGUUUUGUAAUAUCAUGUACUCUUAAAUGUUCCAAAAUACUGUUCGUGCUUUAAGUUUGAUAAUUUUAUAUGCUACUUUGAUAUUGAAAUAUGCUACAUAAACACAGAAGAUUGACUGUAUUUCAGUAUGUGUAAUUUUAUUACAAUAAAUUAAACAUUCUCCUGUUUUAUUA